AGCCACGGAGUAGCACUCUAGGGACAGUGACUCUUGGAAUAAGCACCUGCAAGCUGUAAACGAAGCCCAAAGUGCCACCAACCUGUACCCAAAGUACUACCCGCCUCCAAACUGUGCCCUAAGUGCCACGAGCUCC